UAGCAUGUCAUAUAUUAAAAUUUUAUAUUGUUUGCUAUUUAUUUAAUCGUUGAAACUCUAUGCUUAUCAAUAGACAUCGAAAAUUGGAGGCGCUUUAUAAUAAUUGAUUUUAAAAAUAUUAAAUUGAUUCUUAAAAUAAGUUUAAUAGCCUAAAAUCUUACUUUUUAAUAAAUUGGGUCUAGACUACACCUAGGCCAAGAUAGGCAUAUGAUAUUCUUUUAAAGCUCCGGAAGUUAAUUCUUUUUCUUAUAAAUUUUUUGCCGUAAAAUAUUAAUGUUCUUUGCAUUUUUUUAUAUUCUUGUUUUGUGACAGUUUAUUAAAUGAUGGGGGAAUCUUUUUUAAAAUCCAUAUAGGUGAAAUUUUAUUAUCUUUGUAUUGAACUAUAUUGCGGAUGAAAAAAAGUGCAAUACCGAAAACGUUAGACAUACGUUGAAUCACGAGUCAUUACAGUGCUUCUAAAAAUAAACUAUGAUAUCACUAAAAGCGUUAAAAAUAGAUAUGCAUCCAAUCGUAACAUGUUUUAGGCGUUCUUGGAGUCCGACCAAAACCUAGAACUACGUUUCUGCGGAUGAAUUUAGAGUUUAGGAUAGGCCAAACUAUCAAACUCUACCAACACGACCAGGACGAAAACAACGUUUAGAGUUUAAGCUAGAAGAGUUUUGUCAUAUUCAGGCAAAGUCAGCAUCUGCUUCAUAGUCUUAUGUUCCUGUGGGAUGAAAUAUUAAAUUUGAUAUUUCAUCAUCUAAAGUUCUACAGCUUCCAUAUCUUUGAUUUUUGCUUUGUAUGUGGGACAAAGAGAAAGGUCUUGGUGUGUACAGGAUGACUUAGGGUCAUUGAACAGCUAUGCUCUUCGGCUGUUAUCAGUUUGUGGUGAGUACAGUGAGUCAAUGGUGCCAACAGAUCCGUCCCUAUUUUAUUGACCAGGGUAGCUAAAUAUUCUGGGUUCUGGUAGUUGGCACCUUGGCAAUGACCAGUACUGGUAAUCUUUUAAUUUUAGUGGCACAUAAUGGCUUGAUAUUGAGGUUAGGUCUGCUAACAUUACAUUGUUAGUUACAUGCCAGAUAUUAUAUGGAGUAUGGAUUCCUUAUGGUAUUUGGUUUAUAUUUACUAUGCUACUAAACUUAUUGGGGACUUUUUUUUUUUAUAAACUGGGUUUGUUAACUGUAUAUCAAAGUAAAAUGCCACCUAAAACAUGCUAUGUUUUAGGUGUGUGAAUAUUGUUUUUCAAAGACUUGACUUUGAUUAACCAGAUCAACAGCUGUGAUGCAGGCACUGUUGAACUGUCAGUCCCCACUAAGGUUACUUUAUUGUUCUUUCUUAUGUUCAUAUUUAGUAUGUUUACUUCAUACAUUGACUUUUUUAUAUUUUUGUAAUGAUACUUUAUUGGUGAUUUUAAAAGACAUCUGAAUCGCUGUGUAAGUAUUAAGGGCCUAGCGGGAAGAGGCCUAUUUGUUUGAGUUGUGCACUAAAGGUAUGGUAAACUUUGGUGGUAUCAAUUAUCAUGCAUAUGAAAUUUGUUUUAUUUCUAUGUCAUUUUUUUUUAUGUUCAUGAUUAUUUUCUUAAAGAUUCAUUAUGUACAUAUGUAGCUAUGGCAGGGGUCGGCAACCUGCGGCUCUUUUGAUGUCAAGAUGCGGCUCUCCAGCUCCUUGCAAAAAUACUAAUAAUCUUAAUCAAAAACUAAAAUACUUGAAAUAAAAAAAUUAUUAGUGGUUCUUUAAAACUAGGGAAAUUGUGAAAAUUGUAACUUUUGGCUCCUCCACUUCAAAAGGUUGCCGACCCCUGAGCUAUGGCACUGAGAGUUAGGGAUCAUCCAUUUAUGAUGUCCACCCUGAUGUGUUGUUGGGUAAAGUAUCAAGAGGUAGUUUCACUGGCUCAGCACUUUCUUAUAUACAAGUAACCCUUGUAUCAACAUAGUUUCUAAUUAAUACACUCUGGAUUCAACCAGUAAUGUUCUAUGCAGUUUGCAAAUAUGAAUAACUGUUGUGUUCAUUAAGCUUUACUCUAAGAAAAAAAAUAUCUCUUUUUUUUUAGUUUUAAUUUAGGGAUUUAGAAGUUGGCAUUGGCUUAAGUGGUAAGUGAACUCAUAAAUGGUGGAUCCCUAAUAAUGUAAAGCAUUCUUUGUGAACAAAGUUGUAGAGAUGUAUUGUAUGCCAUCAUGUAGAGCCUUUUCCUGAAGUGGUUGGUCAUUGUAAAUUAUCUGCAGCAUUCUACAUCUGAUUGUACAAUGCCAUAUUUGGCGUUGCAAGAUAUUUGUUGAUUACCUUUCAUUCUCAGUAGCUCCACUGUUUUAAUUUCCUCUGAUUUCUAUUUUGAAUGGACUUUGACAAACUGUAUAUUUUGUAGAUAUGUAUUAUUAAAAAUAAAAUAAUUAUUUA